UACGGGGGGGGCAAGCGUUGUUCGGAAUUACUGGGCGUAAAGGGCGCGUAGGCGGCCUUCUAAGUCAGACGUGAAAUCCCCGGGCUCAACCCGGGAACUGCGUCUGAUACUGGAAGGCUUGAAUCCGGGAGAGGGAUGCGGAAUUCCAGGUGUAGCGGUGAAAUGCGUAGAUAUCUGGAGGAACACCGGUGGCGAAGGCGGCAUCCUGGACCGGCAUUGACGCUGAGGCGCGAAAGCCAGGGGAGCAAACGGG
rnacentral:rRNA from 1 species